UGGGGAAUCUUGGACAAUGGGCGCAAGCCUGAUCCAGCCAUGCCGCGUGAGUGAAGAAGGCCUUCGGGUUGUAAAGCUCUUUUGUCAGGGACGAUAAUGACGGUACCUGAAGAAUAAGCCCCGGCAAACUUCGUGCCAGCAGCCGCGGUAAUACGAAGGAGGCUAGCGUUGUUCGGAAUUACUGGGCGUAAAGCGCACGUAGGCUGAUUGUUAAGUCAGGGGUGAAAUCCCAGAGCUCAACUCUGGAACUGCCCUUGAUACUGGCAAUCUCGAGUCCGGAAGAGGUUAGUGGAAUUCCCAGUGUAGAGGUGAAAUUCGUAGAUAUUGGGAAGAACACCAGUGGCGAAGGCGGCUAACUGGUCCGGUACUGACGCUGAGGUGCGAAAGCGUGGGGAGCAAACAGGAUUAGAUACCCUCGUAGUCCCUGAGCGGGCUGGCAAGGCGCAU
rnacentral:rRNA from 1 species